rnacentral:lncRNA from 1 species
AGACCAAUAGGGCAGAAUACCCUUCUCGGUCAAUCAAUCAGGAAAAUGGCUGUUGGGUCUUCAUCUACUCUGCUUCGACCAUAAUCCCGAAGACCAAUAGGGCGGAAUAUCCUUCUCGGUCAAUCAAUCAGGAAAAUGGCUGUUGGGUCUGCUUCAAUCCCGAGGAAGGCCUCGAGACAUGUCUUUAAAGUGUAGACUUCUUUCUAACUUGAUCGGUCUGUCAGUCUGACCACUUCGGUAUAGGAUUCUAAGCAGUAUGCCUUCUACCCUUUUCCGACCAUGGUCAGGUUUUCUCUCGGCAGCAAAAAUCAAUCUUCUUCCAGCAUCAUCCUGGGCUCUCGAACGAGAACCCUUAGAAACCUGCUUGGAAGCAGUACCAGCAUGAGCAUUCUUUGAAGGACCCAAUCAAUCCUUGACAGAUACUCAUUGUGUAGACGAAGUCAUAGCCAUCAAGUAUUCUUUAGAGGUAAUUGUUCUACUCUUCUUCACCAUGGAUUCCGACGUAGAGCAGCUACAAUUUGUGAUUGAAAACUUCAAGAACACUAGAACACAGCCCUCCUUCUAGCGCCAAUGUUAACGCCAAGAUCUUUCUCCACGUCCCAAU